GAGCUCUGCAGCCAAAGCUUCAAAAAAACCAAAAAAAAGCGGUCAUGGACACCCUCUCUCCUGGAGGAAGGCAGACGAGAAGCAGUUUCUGCUGCUCACGGAGAAGCAAGAAGAGGAGUCGUGAGGAGCGGCGAGUCAAGAGUGAGCCUGAAGAGAGGAUGAGGAAGAUGGAAGAGAAAGCUCACGGAGAAGCAAGAAGAGGAGUCGUGAGGAGCGGCGGGUCAAGAGUGAGCCUGAAGAGAGGAUGAGGAAGAGAGAAGAGGAGGGAGGAGAAAGGCACUCUGGGCAAAGGGACCGCCCUGGCAGCAGGGCUGUGGUCACGUAAGAGCAUGGCUGGCACCUUUGGUGCCCUUGCUCCCUUUGCGCUGGGCGACCUCCCUGUAAGCAGGGCUCGGGUCUUUGCUUUUGUUGGCCUUUUGCCAUGUUGCUCCUUGGCUGCCUGGAGAGAGGGACGAGCCUGUAAGGAGGCUGCGAGUCCCUUUCUCCGCCCCUGGGGGGACAGGGAGCUCACCGGAACCCAGGCCCGCCCUGUAAGCAGGGCCGGGCUCUUUGCCCCCCGCGGCUUUCCGCCUGCCGGCCCCUGGCCGGCGCCACCCCCGCGCUCGGGGUGUGGGCCAGCAUUGGCCCUUUGGCGCCCCGUGAAGCCCCUUGGCAUGUUGAGUGCUCCGGCCUCCAUGCAGCCUGGGGGCAGGCCUGAGCCUCUCCUCCCGCUCCUGGGUACGGACCGGGCCCCCGACGUUGGCUGGCUGCCCUGGGCUCCCUUUCUCUCCUGGAAAGCCGUGUUACAUGUCUCCUGUCUGCUGUGCUUGUCCCUUCCCUCUUGUCCUCUGUCCUGUUGGGAGUGAGUGAGCUAGCGAGUGAGCUUGUCCUCUAGGCCUCUGUAAAAAGCGCUGCAGCGUAUUAGCUUUGGCUUCCCAGGCCUGAAAGAAGGGCUCUGGGCAGUAGCAGAGGGGUCCCGUCUCGGGCCCAGAUUUGAGGAGGGGGGAGAGUUCCGGCUUGCCCCUUCCUCCCCCGGGCAGAGCGGAGCCACUUGGUAAUGGUGUGGGCGAGGGGACCUGCCCGUAGUCGGGGCCCAGGUCUGUGCCCGCGUGGCCGCCUGUCCUGCUGGCCACGUGGCCAGCGUGGCGGCCCUGUAGUCGGGGCGUGCGUCACAAGCCGUGGAGCCCUGUGCGCCCGGAGCAGCUUGGCCUCCCUGUAAGCAGGGCGGAGGGGCCUGCCCUCCCGCGGCCUGCUGCUUUAGCCAGCCACCAGGAAUGACCCCUCCCCGGCCCGCUAAGGGGGCAGGCGGAGGAAGUGCCCUGCCGCAGGGCGCUGUGCGGCCUCCGGGCCGCUUCUUCUGGGGGCCGCCUGCCCGCAGCCGGGCUCGAGGUGCCCCCUGGGCUCCUGCAGACGUGCUGUUGUGCUGCAGCCGGGCUGGCCAGCCCGUAGGCCGGGCCUAGGCCAGAGCCUCCUGCCCCGUGGGGCUCGGGGCUAGUGCCAGCGCUGGGGGCAGCGCCCUGUAAGCAGGGCCGCGCACGUCCCCUGCGCUGUGCGGGAGGUGCUGGGAG